UGGGGAAUAUUGCACAAUGGAGGGAACUCUGAUGCAGCGACGCCGCGUGAACGAAGAAGGCUUUCGAGUCGUAAAGUUCUUUUAUAUGGGAAGAUAAUGACGGUACCAUAAGAAAAAGCCCCGGCUAACUACGUGCCAGCAGCCGCGGUAAUACGUAGGGGGCUAGCGUUGUCCGGAAUCACUGGGCGUAAAGGGUUCGCAGGCGGAAAUGCAAGUCAGGUGUAAAAGGCAGUAGCUUAACUACUGUAAGCAUUUGAAACUGCAUAUCUUGAGAAGAGUAGAGGUAAAUGGAAUUUUUAGUGUAGCGGUGAAAUGCGUAGAUAUUAAAAAGAAUACCGGUGGCGAAGACGACUUACUGGGCUCAUUCUGACGCUGAGGAACGAAAGCGUGGGUAGCAAACAGG
rnacentral:rRNA from 1 species